AUUAUUUCUUACAGAUAGGUUGAUAAUUGUAGCGCGUAGCAAAAGAAUCAGUUUUUUUAGCUAGUGUAUCAAACCGAUUUUAUUUUUUAAGACGAAUUUGUCUUAACGUAAAUGACCCCGCGCAUGCACAUCAAUGCGAUGGGAUUCUUAGCUCUCCGUGAAAAAGUUCCUAGAGUUUACCAUUGCAACUAAAAUGGAUUCAGAAGAUAUUCAAUAUAUCGAUGAUCUUGUUCAGGAGUAUCUCACGUAUAGAGGCUUUUCUUCUACCAGCGAGGCCUUCGCGAGAGACAAGAAGAAGUUGAAAACUCAUCAAACUAAAAGACUGGUAGCUGAUUUAUUCUUGCUGGUACAUGACGGUCAUAUCGACAAACUCCUAGAGCUUUGGUCACAGCUUGACAAACAUUUUUUUUCGAGAGUAGACGGUAUUUUUUUCAUAGCGCAGGAGUUAUCGCUGUCACUGAAGCGCUAUUACGUAAUUUAUGCCGUUCAAACUGGGCAGGCCGACAGGGUGUUUGAGUUUUUCAAACAGUAUUCGCACGAACUAGCUUCGGAUAAGGAGUGGAGGACAUGGUUUGUUCUGCCUUACCUUAAAAACCCAAAGUCAGAUCAGGCUUUCAGCGCCUUCUUUGAGAAAAGCUGGCUAGAGAAGUUCAAGGUGUCACUUUAUAACUUUCUCAGUAUCGUCUUUCAGUCUCUGCCGGUGCCGAAAAUCCUCAACUUCAAUGUCGAGAGGAAAAUACGACUGGCGCUGCAAAGUACCAACGGAGAAUUGAUAAACCAAAAUGCAGAACUAAAUACAGAAAUAGAAAAAUUGAACCGAGAACUAGAGAGAUUUAAAUCGGCCGAACAUAAUGAUAGUAAAUCACUCGAGCCAGAUCAGCCAUUUUAUCAGCAGCCGUCUGCUCAGCUAAAUCAAAGAUUAGAGCCAAAUUUCCAUCAUUCUGCUGUUGCUUCUGUAACGAAUCCGGUCCUUUCCGCUCCACAGAGCCAAGACCAACUGGCAUUGCCUUCAAAUCCAGAAACCAAGACAAAAACCGACCUCAAGCCGGAUGGCGCGCCUUUAUGUAAAGAUACUAAGAUUUCAGAAACGACCGCAACCACGCUAAUUGAUUCAAAAAUACAACACUUUUCCUCUAAACUGCUUAAGGUAGCGAAAACCACUUCUAUUUUAGUCGGGGCUCCUAUCGUCUGCUGUAAGUACUCCUGCGAUGGCAAUUCCCUCGCCUUCGGCACGCAUACUGGCUUUCUUCAUGUCCGUUCAUCGAAGCAAAAAACUAUCACAUUUAAAAAAACGUUCGAUAUCACAGCUUUGGAAUGGAACAGAUCAGGACAUUUGAUAUUUUCUGGCACAGGGAACGGCAUCAUUAAACUUUGGGAUGUCGAUCACGCCAAGAAUGUCGGCAAAGUCUCUAUAACUCCACAUCAGCGAAUAUCCGAUAUUGUGUGUCCUCUUGCUGGCAAUUUUAUCUCAUGUUCCACCUCUGGGCAUAGCGGUCCCAAAACCUCAGGCACCGUUCAAACAGUUGAUUUAAGGACUCUGCAGCUUUUGGAUCGUAUCGAGCUAGAUGCCGGUGUCAACUCUAUCAUCUACAAUCACAAUGCCAGUAUGGCUCUUCUCGGAAUGUCCGAUGGAUACAUACGCAUAUUCGAUUUGAAUGGCUUAAAGCCUAUAAUGUCUUGGAAAGGACAUAAUGGCUCAAUUUUGAACGCCAAGUAUGCCUACGACGAAACCAAUAUCUAUUCAAUUGACUCCCAGGGGAUGUUGUUAAGGUGGUGUCUUCAAGUUCCAGGAAAAAUUGCCGAACACUAUUCGCACCCUGGCAACUCAAAAUUCGCAAAAAAGGUCGACAUGAGUUUCGAUGAGUCAGGCAAAUAUUUUAUUACAUCUUCUAAAAACAAUUUUGGCUACAUUUACUAUUACGAACUUUCUCAUCCAAUUCUCGGUGUUGGGGACCAUACCUCUCCGAUACUUUGCUCUGACUGGAACCCCGGUCAAAAUCAAGUCGCAACAGGAUGCUUAGGUGGUGUCGUAUGCCUUAGCAUGCUGGACUGGGAUGACCAAUCAUAGUGUCAACCUCUCGAUGAUACUCGUCCGCUCGUGUCGCUUCAGCAUUUAAGCUUCGCUUUUUCGCAUGUAUUUGUAUAUCACACAUUUUAUACAUGCUCCUCGCUAUUAGCUCUAAGAUUAUCAUUAUCAGUAACCACUCGGUCUAAGCUGUCUCGGAGAGCCCAAGUAUUAGUAUUGACAAGGAAGAUGCUACAAUUCUUCCAUUCUAGUUGUUUAUGCGUGUGAAACAUAAUGUUAAAUCCAAUGACCAAGUAUUCUGCUAGCGAAAAAAGAGAAUAAACUGUAUAGAAAGGAACGCGGUUAGUUAGAAUUGAGCCUCGGUGUGACAGAAUUUCGCCAGAUAAAGUCGAUCGACUCUUCUGUCAUUCAUCUCGAGUCAACACGAUAAUUUGAAAAUCUUUGUACUAUUCCGUACUUCCUACUUCGCAAAAACGCAUAUGCCUCCAAUAAAAAUAUAUGCACGCUAGGAAAGAGGCGCAGUGUCCCAUAGCAAUAGCAACCUUAACUUUCAGAUAUCUCUUAUCUUUUUCAGCCAACGGAUAAUGGCUCUUCAGGUAGCAGAUGAUUGAACAGAGGAAGUGAAUGUGUGCCAAUAACAUAAACGAAGAAAAUCCAAACUGGUGAACGAAAAAAUUUUCUUUACUGCCUACAAAUGUCAGCAAAUACAACAUAAAGUCUUCUAGCAGAGCUGUAAUCAGCGACACUAUAUUCCAGAAUUCCAAUCCUCUUUUAAGGCGAAGAAUUUUUGCCUGUCUACAUUCUAAAUAGUUUCUGGUCAACAAAUAAUUGCAGCAGUCUACAAUUAUUUUCAUAGACGAAUAUAGACCUAUUCCUAAACGAAAAAUAUACUGUGCGAAUUCUGUUAAUAUGCUUAAUACGAGUUCUCAGUAAAACCAAAAAUUCAGCUUUUCAUUAUCUGCCUUAUAUUCUCUGACUUACUUUCUCUGGAGGUUCGCCUACUGAAGCCGAUACAGAAGCCAGAAACUGCCAGUUGUUACAAUGAGUAUGUCUAACCUGUUACAUUCAAAAAGUAUAAAUUUGCAAAAUUUAGUAUCGAAUAUGUUGCACCGCUAGAUGUCAUCUAUUUUAAAAUUCAUCUAGCAUACAUUGGAAUGAUACUUGUUGGCAAUAAUUAUGCAAGAAUAGAUAGAUAUCACUGGCAAUAUCCACGUAGUUCUACAAAAAUUAGAAUAACUCAUAGAGUAAACACAGCAGCUGUCCUUAUUUUUCUGUUCAUCGUUCAAGUUAUAAGGCAUUGUUUAAAGGAUAUGCUCUGGCUUUUGAAACAUGUGGAGAAAAGCAUCUCUCUAUUCCAGUUAAAAAAACAAAUGUAGAGUAAUUGAUUAAUAACGGAUUUCUGAUAAAAGUAAUAAAGGAACAAUUAGAUCUCAAUGAAAA